ACUUGUGGUACAUUAUAUGUAUCAAAAUUACGAGUUUUUAAUAGUGCUUUAACAUUUAAUCAUAGUGACAGGAAAGGGAAAGAAAACAUAAUUAACCUUUAAUUCGAAUCUAAAGUCACGUGGAUGGAAAUUCAAAUUCGUAGGCGUUACGUUUUGGCUGUCGGUCAGGAAUCGGGAUGCAUUGAUAAGUGAAUAUUAUAGAUUUCCUUGAACAAAAAGGUAGUUAAAGUGUUGGACAUGCUCUCAAAGGUCGGAGGGACGGAAACACGUGAAUAUGUAAAAAGAAACAUAUGAAAUGAAAAUGAUGUCACACUCGCUAUUGGGCGCUACAAACGCUACAUAUCCUCCGGACAGACGAGGGGUGCUGAAAGAAGGUCAUAUCUUAAAGCAUCACACCUCAAAAUUCGUGCUAAUUCUCAUGGAUAUCUAAUAGUAUAACUUUGUGAAGUAACUAAAAGGCAGCAAUUUAUACAUUACUGACAAUUAUCAAAGGAGGUCAAAAUAUGCAAAAUUGCACUAAAUGUUUUAGAAAUGCUGUAGAAAUAUAGUUAAAGUACUGAAAAUCUGUCAUAAAUUGCUUGAAACAUUAUUAUCAGAAUCUUUUAACUUUUCUUAAAAUUAUAAUAUUUUCAUUGUUUUAUUUGAUAAGGCAAACUUUGAUAGAAAUGUGCAUACAUUGUUUUGUUCUUUAAUAUUUGUACAUGUUUUCUUAGUUUCAUUUAUGUCAUUGUUUUUGUAAUACUUUUUGUUUUGUAAUUAACUUAUUUUAUGUUUUAUUUUGUUUAAUUUAUGAAAAUUAUUUAACCUUGCAGAAUUUACUAAAAUUGUA